rnacentral:rRNA from 1 species
GAUGAACGCUAGCGGCAGGCCUAACACAUGCAAGUCGAGGGAGGAGCCUUCGGGCUUCGACCGGCGUACGGGUGCGUAACGCGUAUACAAUCUGCCUUUCACAUAGGGAUAGCCCGAAGAAAUUUGGAUUAAUACCUAAUGGUAUAUAGAUGUGGCAUCACCUUUAUAUUAAAGCUGAGGCGGUGAAAGAUGAGUAUGCGUUCUAUUAGCUAGUUGGAGAGGUAACGGCUCCCCAAGGCGACGAUAGAUAGGGGUUCUGAGAGGGAUAUCCCCCACACUGGUACUGAGAUACGGACCAGACUCCUACGGGAGGCAGCAGUGAGGAAUAUUGGACAAUGGUCGGAAGACUGAUCCAGCCAUGCCGCGUGCAGGAAGACGGCCUUAGGGGUUGUAAACUGCUUUUGCAGGGGAAGAAUAAGGACUACGCGUAGUUUGAUGACGGUACUCUGCGAAUAAGCAUCGGCUAACUCCGUG